rnacentral:rRNA from 1 species
GGAUGCCUUGGCACUAGAAGCCGAUGAAGGACGUUACUAACGACGAUAUGCUUUGGGGAGCUGUAAGUAAGCUUUGAUCCAGAGAUUUCCGAAUGGGGAAACCCAGCAUGAGUUAUGUCAUGUUAUCGAUAUGUGAAUACAUAGCAUAUCAGAAGGCACACCCGGAGAACUGAAACAUCUUAGUACCCGGAGGAAGAGAAAGAAAAUUCGAUUCCCUUAGUAGCGGCGAGCGAAACGGGAAGAGCCCAAACCAACAAGCUUGCUUGUUGGGGUUGUAGGACACUCUAUACGGAGUUACAAAGGACGACAUUAGACGAAUCAUCUGGAAAGAUGAAUCAAAGAAGGUAAUAAUCCUGUAGUCGAAAAUGUUGUCUCUCUUGAGUGGAUCCUGAGUACGACGGAGCACGUGAAAUUCCGUCGGAAUCUGGGAGGACCAUCUCCUAAGGCUAAAUACUCUCUAGUGACCGAUAGUGAACCAGUACCGUGAGGGAAAGGUGAAAAGCACCCCGGAAGGGGAGUGAAAUAGAACCUGAAACCGUGUGCUUACAAGUAGUCAGAGCCCGUUAAUGGGUGAUGGCGUGCCUUUUGUAGAAUGAACCGGCGAGUUACGAUUUGAUGCAAGGUUAAGCAGUAAAUGUGGAGCCGUAGCGAAAGCGAGUCUGAAUAGGGCGUUUAGUAUUUGGUCGUAGACCCGAAACCAGGUGAUCUACCCUUGGUCAGGUUGAAGUUCAGGUAACACUGAAUGGAGGACCGAACCGACUUACGUUGAAAAGUGAGCGGAUGAACUGAGGGUAGCGGAGAAAUUCCAAUCGAACCUGGAGAUAGCUGGUUCUCUCCGAAAUAGCUUUAGGGCUAGCCUCAAGUGAUGAUUAUUGGAGGUAGAGCACUGUUUGGACGAGGGGCCCCUCUCGGGUUACCGAAUUCAGACAAACUCCGAAUGCCAAUUAAUUUAACUUGGGAGUCAGAACAUGGGUGAUAAGGUCCGUGUUCGAAAGGGAAACAGCCCAGACCACCAGCUAAGGUCCCAAAAUAUAUGUUAAGUGGAAAAGGAUGUGGCGUUGCCCAGACAACUAGGAUGUUGGCUUAGAAGCAGCCAUCAUUUAAAGAGUGCGUAAUAGCUCACUAGUCGAGUGACACUGCGCCGAAAAUGUACCGGGGCUAAACAUAUUACCGAAGCUGUGGAUUGUCCUUUGGACAAUGGUAGGAGAGCGUUCUAAGGGCGUUGAAGCAUGAUCGUAAGGACAUGUGGAGCGCUUAGAAGUGAGAAUGCCGGUGUGAGUAGCGAAAGACGGGUGAGAAUCCCGUCCACCGAUUGACUAAGGUUUCCAGAGGAAGGCUCGUCCGCUCUGGGUUAGUCGGGUCCUAAGCUGAGGCCGACAGGCGUAGGCGAUGGAUAACAGGUUGAUAUUCCUGUACCACCUAUAAUCGUUUUAAUCGAUGGGGGGACGCAGUAGGAUAGGCGAAGCGUGCGAUUGGAUUGCACGUCUAAGCAGUAAGGCUGAGUAUUAGGCAAAUCCGGUACUCGUUAAGGCUGAGCUGUGAUGGGGAGAAGACAUUGUGUCUUCGAGUCGUUGAUUUCACACUGCCGAGAAAAGCCUCUAGAUAGAAAAUAGGUGCCCGUACCGCAAACCGACACAGGUAGUCAAGAUGAGAAUUCUAAGGUGAGCGAGCGAACUCUCGUUAAGGAACUCGGCAAAAUGACCCCGUAACUUCGGGAGAAGGGGUGCUCUUUAGGGUUAACGCCCAGAAGAGCCGCAGUGAAUAGGCCCAAGCGACUGUUUAUCAAAAACACAGGUCUCUGCUAAACCGUAAGGUGAUGUAUAGGGGCUGACGCCUGCCCGGUGCUGGAAGGUUAAGAGGAGUGGUUAGCUUCUGCGAAGCUACGAAUCGAAGCCCCAGUAAACGGCGGCCGUAACUAUAACGGUCCUAAGGUAGCGAAAUUCCUUGUCGGGUAAGUUCCGACCCGCACGAAAGGCGUAACGAUUUGGGCACUGUCUCAACGAGAGACUCGGUGAAAUCAUAGUACCUGUGAAGAUGCAGGUUACCCGCGACAGGACGGAAAGACCCCGUGGAGCUUUACUGUAGCCUGAUAUUGAAAUUCGGCACAGCUUGUACAGGAUAGGUAGGAGCCUUUGAAACGUGAGCGCUAGCUUACGUGGAGGCGCUGGUGGGAUACUACCCUAGCUGUGUUGGCUUUCUAACCCGCACCACUUAUCGUGGUGGGAGACAGUGUCAGGCGGGCAGUUUGACUGGGGCGGUCGCCUCCUAAAAGGUAACGGAGGCGCUCAAAGGUUCCCUCAGAAUGGUUGGAAAUCAUUCAUAGAGUGUAAAGGCAUAAGGGAGCUUGACUGCGAGACCUACAAGUCGAGCAGGGUCGAAAGACGGACUUAGUGAUCCGGUGGUUCCGCAUGGAAGGGCCAUCGCUCAACGGAUAAAAGCUACCCCGGGGAUAACAGGCUUAUCUCCCCCAAGAGUUCACAUCGACGGGGAGGUUUGGCACCUCGAUGUCGGCUCAUCGCAUCCUGGGGCUGUAGUCGGUCCCAAGGGUUGGGCUGUUCGCCCAUUAAAGCGGUACGCGAGCUGGGUUCAGAACGUCGUGAGACAGUUCGGUCCCUAUCCGUCGUGGGCGUAGGAAAUUUGAGAGGAGCUGUCCUUAGUACGAGAGGACCGGGAUGGACAUACCUCUGGUGUACCAGUUGUCGUGCCAACGGCAUAGCUGGGUAGCUAUGUGUGGACGGGAUAAGUGCUGAAAGCAUCUAAGCAUGAAGCCCCCCUCAAGAUGAGAUUUCCCAACUUCGGUUAUAAGAUCCCUCAAAGAUGAUGAGGUUAAUAGGUUCGAGGUGGAAGCAUGGUGACAUGUGGAGCUGACGAAUACUAAUCGAUCGAAGACUUAAUCAA